UAGUCCACGCCGUAAACGAUGUCUACUUGGAGGUUGUGGCCUUGAGCCGUGGCUUUCGGAGCUAACGCGUUAAGUAGACCGCCUGGGGAGUACGGUCGCAAGAUUAAAACUCAAAGGAAUUGACGGGGGCCCGCACAAGCGGUGGAGCAUGUGGUUUAAUUCGAUGCUACGCGAAGAACCUUACCUGGGCUUGACAUCCCGGGCUACCCUGUGAAAGCAGGGGUUCCCUUCGGGGACCCGGUGACAGGUGCUGCAUGGCUGUCGUCAGCUCGUGUUGUGAGAUGUUGGGUUAAGUCCCGCAACGAGCGCAACCCUCGCCCUUAGUUACCAGCAUUUAGUUGGGCACUCUAAGGGGACCGCUUGGCUAUAAGCCAGAGGAAGGUGGGGAUGACGUCAAGUCCUCAUGGCCUUUAUGUCCAGGGGCUACACACGUGCUACAAUGGAAAGGACAAAGCGCAGCUAACUCGCGAGAGUGUGCUAAUCGCAAAAACCUUUUCUCAGUUCGGAUUGGAGUCUGCAACUCGAC
rnacentral:rRNA from 1 species